GAUCCUGGCUCAGGAUGAACGCUGGCGGCGUGCUUAACACAUGCAAGUCGAACGGAGUUUUUAACGGAAGUUUCGGAUGGAAGUUUAGAAACUUAGUGGCGGACGGGUGAGUAACGCGUGGGUAACCUGCCUCAUACAGGGGGAUAACAGUUAGAAAUGACUGCUAACACCGCAUAAUAUAGCGAAACCGCAUGAUUUUGCUAUCAAAUAUUUAUAGGUAUGAGAUGGGCCCGCGUCUGAUUAGCUAGUUGGUGGGGUAAAGGCCUACCAAGGCGACGAUCAGUAGCCGGCUUGAGAGAGUGACCGGCCACAUUGGGACUGAGACACGGCCCAAACUCCUACGGGAGGCAGCAGUGGGGAAUAUUGGACAAUGGGGGAAACCCUGAUCCAGCGAACCGCCGCGUGAGUGAAGAAGUAUUUCGGUAUGUAAAGCUCUAUCAGCAGGGAAGAUAAUGACAGUACCUGACUAAGAAGCCCCGGCUAACUACGUGCCAGCAGCGGC
rnacentral:rRNA from 1 species